GACCUAAUAGUGAAGUCGGCAUCGUAUCCACAUUUGGUAUCAUCGAGAAUUAGGGGAUAUGUGGAAGUCCCUCGUUCGAACCGAGGUUAGGUUG